GCUGGGUGUGGUGGCGUGCACCUGUAGUCCCAGCUACUCAGGAGGCUGAGGCGGGAGAAUCGCUCAAACCCAGGAGGCAGAGGUUGCAGUGAGCCAAGAUCAUGGCGCUGCACUCUAGCCUGGGCAACAGAGUGAGACUCUGUCUCAU
rnacentral:sRNA from 1 species